UACGUAGGGCGCAAGCGUUGUCCGGAAUUAUUGGGCGUAAAGAGCUCGUAGGCGGUUUGUCGCGUCUGGUGUGAAAUCUCAAGGCUCAACCUUGAGCUUGCAUUGGGUACGGGCAGACUAGAGUGCGGUAGGGGUGACUGGAAUUCCUGGUGUAGCGGUGGAAUGCGCAGAUAUCAGGAGGAACACCGAUGGCGAAGGCAGGUCACUGGGCCGCAACUGACGCUGAGGAGCGAAAGCAUGGGUAGCGAACAGG
rnacentral:rRNA from 1 species